rnacentral:rRNA from 1 species
UCGAAAGCCCAAGGAUUCCUGAGCAAGGCUCGUCCUCUCAGGGUAAGUCGGGACCUAAGGCGAGGCCGAAAGGCGUAGUCGAUGGACAACAGGUAGAAAUUCCUGUACUACAAGAUUGUGAUUGAGAGAAGUACUGACGCAGAAGGAAAAGUCGAGCGUGUGAAUGGUAGAACACGUCCAAGUAACAAGCCAGAAUAUACAGGCAAAUCCGUAUAUUCGUUAACGUAAGUUAUCAUGGGGAGCAGAAAGAUGCGAAGCGACAGAUUCAAACUGCCAAGAAAAGGUGCUAUCGAAUAAUCUUGUACCCGUACCGCAAACCGACACAGGUAGGCAAGAAGAGAAUUCUAAGACGCGCGGAAGAACCUUUGUUAAGGAACUCGGCAAAAUAAUCCCGUAAGUUAGCGAGAAGGGAUGCCUAAGAAAUUAGGUCGCAGAGAAUAGGCCCAAGCGACUGUUUACCAAAAACACAAGUAUCUGCUAAAUCGAAAGAUGAAGUAUAGGUGCUGACACCUGCCCGGUGCUGGAAGGUCAAGGGGACUUGUUAGAGCAAUCGAAGCAACGAACUUAAGCCCCAGUAAACGGCGGCCGUAACUAUAACGGUCCUAAGGUAGCGAAAUUCCUUGUCGGGUAAGUUCCGACCCGCACGAAAGGUGUAACGAUUUGGGCGCUGUCUCAACAAAGGAUCCGGUGAAAUUGUAGUAGUCGUGAAGAUGCGACUUACCCACGGUAGGACGGAAAGACCCCGUGGAGCUUUACUGCAGGUUGACAUUGAAUUUUGGGAUUAAAUGUACAGGAUAGGUGGGAGACUAAGAAGCAAGCUCGCCAGAGUUUGCAGAGUCACUGUUGGGAUACCACCCUUUUAAUUCUAAAGUUCUAACUAGUUGCCAUGAAACUGGUAAUAGGACACUGUCAGUCGGGCAGUUUGACUGGGGCGGUCGCCUCCAAAAAAGUAACGGAGGCGUUCAAAGGUUCGCUCAGAAUGGUUGGAAAUCAUUCAAAGAGUACAAAGGCAAAAGCGAGCUUAACUGCGAGACAUACAGGUCGAGCAGAGACGAAAGUCGGACUUAGUGAUCCGGUGGUACCGAGUGGAAGGGCCAUCGCUCAACGGAUAAAAGCUACCCCGGGGAUAACAGGCUUAUCUCCCCCAAGAGUCCACAUCGACGGGGAGGUUUGGCACCUCGAUGUCGGCUCGUCUCAUCCUGGAGCUGGAGUAGGUUCCAAGGGUUGGGCUGUUCGCCCAUUAAAGAGGCACGCGAGCUGGGUUCAGAACGUCGUGAGACAGUUCGGUCCCUAUCCACCGUGGGCGUGAGAAAUUUGAGAGGAUCUGUCCUUAGUACGAGAGGACCGGGAUGGACAGACCGCUGGUGUACGAGUUGUACUGCCAAGUGCACAGCUCGGUAGCUACGUCUGGAAAGGAUAAGUGCUGAAGGCAUCUAAGCACGAAACCAACCUCGAGAUAAGAUUUCUAUGAGAUUACUUGAAGAAAACAAGAUAGAUAGGUCAGAGGUGUAAAGAUAGUAAUAUCAAAGCUAACUGAUACUAAUAAAUCGAAAACUUGACUGG